AAAACCUGAAGGUGCAGGGUCAGGUUUUUCUCCGUCAGGGAUGAACAGAAAGCUUUGACUGUUAGGCUGACUGACUGAGAGAUUCUUCUUCUACUGCUGUGUGUUGUUUCUCCAGGCUUUGUCCUUGUCUCAAGGGCUCAAUGUUACAGAUGAGCACCCUUCCAAGAAUGCGAAAAAGCAUCCUGAUCAUUCAGACAAACAGAUUGAGCUCUCCACACUAAGUUUGUCCGAAGGCUGCUUUGGUGUGCCUAGGACUCUUUACAAGAAACACUACAGUCGAUUUGACCCUCAACCUUUUGGAUGCUGAGGAAAAGAAAGCGCUUGCUCCUCCAAAUCUGUGAACG